UCUUUCGGUGAGUCUCUCGGGAACUGAGAAUAAUACUCCAUAGAUCUAGACUGCUGGAAUGCUUUUAGAUUGAAAGAUUUAUCGCCGAAGGAUGAGUCUGCGGACUAUCAGGUUGUAGUCAGGGUAAUGACCUGACUAGCCUACGACGGAUACGGGUAGUGAGAGCUCUAGCCCGGAGAUGAUAUCUGAGACACGAUAUCAGGCCCUACGGGGCGCAGCAGGCGCGAAAACUUCGCACUGUGCGAAAGCACGACGAGGGAAUCCCAAGUGCUGGCUCGUAAGAGUCAGCUGUUUCUCUGUCUAAAAAACAGGGAGAGUAAGAGCUGGGUAAGACGGGUGCCAGCCGCCGCGGUAAUACCUGCAGCUCAAGUGGUGGCCGCUAUUAUUGGGCCUAAAACGUCCGUAGCCGGUUUCAUAAAUGCCUGGGUAAAUCGUACGGCUUAACCGUAUGAAUUCCGGGUAGACUGUUUAACUUGAGACCGGGAGAGGCUAGAGGUACUCCUGGGGUAGAGGUGAAAUUCUGUAAUCCUAGGGGGACCACCAGUGGCGAAGGCGUCUAGCUAGAACGGGUCUGACGGUGAGGGACGAAGCCCUGGGGAGCAAACGGGAUUAGAUACCCCGGUAGUCCAGGGUGUAAACGCUGCUCGCUUGAUGUUAGUCGGGCUCCGAGCCCAACUAGUGUCGGAGAGAAGUUGUUAAGCGAGCUGCCUGGGGAGUACGGUCGCAAGACUAAAACUUAAAGGAAUUGGCGGGGGAGCAC
rnacentral:rRNA from 1 species